GAUAAAGCUAAGAUAGGAAUAAGUAGCAGAUGUCUCCCUGUUUCAGAAAGCUGGUGGUUGAUGCAAACCAGCACAUAGGCAGUUUGUGAAUUACCUCCUGGAGCUUUCCUUGUGAACCGUUUAGUAGCAAGGAACGGAUUGAAACCGUUAUGAAAUGAAGUGAAAAGCUUUUUUUAGCGAGCUUUUAAUUAGGGUGGUACCGCGAGAUUGUAAUCACGUCCCUUUC
rnacentral:ncRNA from 1 species